rnacentral:rRNA from 1 species
UACCAGCACCCCGAGUGGUCGGGACGUUUAUUGGGCCUAAAGCAUCCGUAGCCGGCUCUACAAGUCUUCCGUUAAAUCCACCUGCUCAACAGAUGGGCUGCGGAAGAUACUAUGGAGCUAGGAGGCGGGAGAGGCAAGCGGUACUCGAUGGGUAGGGGUAAAAUCCGUUGAUCCAUUGAAGACCACCAGUGGCGAAGGCGGCUUGCCAGAACGCGCUCGACGGUGAGGGAUGAAAGCUGGGGGAGCAAACCGG